rnacentral:tRNA from 1 species
GACGAUACAGUUCAGUGGUAGAGCGUGUGCUUAGCGUGCACGAGGUCCUGGGUUCAAUCCCCAGUACCCCCA